rnacentral:rRNA from 1 species
UAACGGCUGGAAACGGUCGCUAAUACCGCAUGAUGUGUUCGGAUGGCAUCAUCUGUACAUCAAAGAUUUAUCGCUGAAAGAUGGGCUCGCGUCUGAUUAGAUAGUUGGUGGGGUAACGGCCUACCAAGUCUACGAUCAGUAGCCGGACUGAGAGGUUGAACGGCCACAUUGGGACUGAGAUACGGCCCAGACUCCUACGGGAGGCAGCAGUGGGGAAUAUUGCACAAUGGGGGAAACCCUGAUGCAGCAACGCCGCGUGAAGGAUGACGGUUUUCGGAUUGUAAACUUCUUUUCUUAGUGACGAAGACAGUGACGGUAGCUAAGGAAUAAGCAUCGGCUAACUACGUGCCAGCAGCCGCGGUAAUACGUAGGAUGCAAGCGUUAUCCGGAUUUACUGGGUGUAAAGGGAGCGCAGGCGGGACUGCAAGUUGGAUGUGAAAUACCGUGGCUUAACCACGGAACUGCAUCCAAAACUGUAGUUCUUGAGUGAAGUAGAGGCAAGCGGAAUUCCGAGUGUAGCGGUGAAAUGCGUAGAUAUUCGGAGGAACACCAGUGGCGAAGGCGGCUUGCUGGGCUUUAACUGACGCUGAGGCUCGAAAGUGUGGGGCGCAAAGAGGAUUAGAUACCCUGGCAGUCCACACUGU